rnacentral:tRNA from 1 species
GCGGCGUUGAUUCAAUGGUAGAAUGUCAGCUUCCCAAGCUGAAUACGCGGGUCCGAUUCCCGUACGCCGCUCCA